CCUACGGGUGGCUGCAGUGGGGGAUAUUGCACAAUGGGGGGAACCCUGAUGCAGCGACGCCGCGUGGGUGAAGGAGCGUUUCGGCGCGUAAAGCCCUAUCGGCAGGGAAGAAGAUGACGGUACCUGACCAAGUAGCCCCGGCUAACUACGUGCCAGCAGGCGUGGUAAGACGUAGGGGGCAAGCGUUAUCCGGAUUUACUGGGUGUAAAGGGGGCGCAGACGGCAAUGCAAGCCAGAAGUGAAAGUCCGGGGCCCAACCCCGGGACUGCCCUUGAAACUGCAUGGCUGGAGUACAGGAGAGGCAGGCGGAAUUCCUAGUGUAGCGGUGAAAUGCGUAGAUAUUAGGAGGAACACCGGUGGCGAAGGCGGCCUACUGGACUGUGACUGACGUUGAGGCCCGAAGGCGUGGGGAGCAAACAGGAUUAGAUACCCUUGUAGUC
rnacentral:rRNA from 1 species